CGCUCUUCGCAAAGAAUUUUUAUGUAUGAAGGGUCCUGCCUGCCCAGUGACUUUUUAGUUAAACGGCCGCGGUAUCUUGACCGUGCAAAGGUAGCAUAAUCAUUUGCCUCUUAAAUAGAGGCUGGUAUGAAUGGCAAGACGGGGGCUUAGCUGUCUCUCUUUUAGUUAAGUUGAAUUUAAUUUUUUUGUGAAGAAGCAAAAAUAAGAUCGUAGGACGAGAAGACCCUGUCGAGCUUGAGUAAUAGGGGUGAGUAUGGAGCGAUACGCUUUUACUAAUUUAUUUUUUUAUAGAGGUGAAAAUUAUUCAAGGGUGUUAAUGUAUUUCACCAGUUGUUAUUUAGAUUGGGGCAAUUACGGAGAAAAAAUAACCUCCGUUGUAAAUAAUUUAUGUUGUGAAGUUACUACUUUAUAGUGUAGAAAGUGCAUAUUUUUUGAUCCACAUUUAAGUGAACAAAGGAAUAAGUUACCGCAGGGAUAACAGCGUAAUUUUUUUGGAGAGUUCAUAUUGAUAAAAGAGUUUGCGACCUCGAUAUUGGAUCGGGAUUUCCAGGAGAUGCAGCAGUUUCCAAGGGUUGGUCUGUUCAACAUUUAAAAUCCU
rnacentral:rRNA from 1 species